rnacentral:lncRNA from 11 species
UAUUUUUUCAAGUGUGGUUAAGUCAAAUUGCAUGUACCAGUCUCAUAAAUACAGAUGUUAGAUUGUAUUUCUAUUCAUCUCACCCUUGCCUCAAAAUCCUGCAGGUUGAGCCACAACCAUAGUUGUAGUAGCCUUGUCUUUUCUGAUUUCAUGCUAAAAUAGAAAACUAUAAGUAAAGGAAAUUGUUAAAAUGACUUGAGCUAGUUAUGGAUACAACUGCUUCUUAUUGUGGAUGCUGUUUAUUUCAGAUCAUAUCUUUGUAUGAAGAAGGUGUAAUCUGGAAGAAGCAAAGGCAUAUGCUGAGUUUGGGAACAACUAGAUCACCAAUGUGGAUACCAAGUCCUCCACAAUCUCUGAAUUGGCUAAGGCAAGUCUAGAAUUUGGAGAAUUCAUUUUCAUGAACAACAUGGUGACUGAGGGAUUCUGGGACUUGUAAUUCAAAAGGUAACUUUUCCAAAUUCUGAUAUGCAGGUUUUGUGUUAGAUUUUACAUCUGUUAUCUGUCAUUUCAGUAGCGAUCUGCAAAGCACACUGUGAACUCUUCGAACCAUGUUUCAAAUUGUUUUAGCUUCCACGUUUU